CCUACGGGUGGCAGCAGUGAGGAAUAUUGGUCAAUGGACGAAAGUCUGAACCAGCCAAGUAGCGUGAAGGAUGACUGCCCUAUGGGUUGUAAACUUCUUUUAUAUGGGAAUAAAAUGUUCCACGUGUGAGAUUUUUUAUGUACCAUAUGAAUAAGGAUCGGCUAACUCCGUGCCAGCAGCCGCGGUAAUACGGAGGAUCCGAGCGUUAUCCGGAUUUAUUGGGUUUAAAGGGAGCGUAGGUGGAUUGUUAAGUCAGUUGUGAAAGUUUGCGGCUCAACCGUAGAAUUGCAGUUGAAACUGGCAGUCUUGAGUACAGUAGAGGUGGGCGGAAUUCGUGGUGUAGCGGUGAAAUGCUUAGAUAUCACGAAGAACUCCGAUUGCGAAGGCAGUACACUGGACUGCAACUGACACUGAGGCUCGAAAGUGUGGGUAUCAAACAGGAUUAGAUACCCUAGUAGUC
rnacentral:rRNA from 1 species